CUUCUCCACAGUCACUGAGAACACAGGUCCUCACCAUGGGAUGGAGCUGGAUCAUCCUCUUCCUCCUGUCAGUAACUACAGGUGUCCACUCCCAGGUCCAGCUGCAGCAGUCUGGGGCUGAGCUGGUGAAACCUGGGGCCUCAGUGAAGUUGUCCUGCAAGGCUUCUGGCUACACUUUCACUAGCUAUACUAUGCACUGGGUGAAGCAGAGUCCUGGACAGGGCCUGGAGUGGAUUGGAUAUUUUUAUCCUGGAAAUGGUAAUAUUGGCUACAAUCAGAAGUUCCAGGGCAAGGCCAAACUGACUGCAGAUAAAUCCUCCAGCACAGCCUACAUGGAGCUCAGCAGCCUGACAUCUGAGGACUCUGCGGUCUAUUACUGUGCACGAGACACAGUGUUGCAACCACAUCCUGAGUUCAGGGUUGGAGCUGAGUGUUAUGUUGUGGAGUCCCCAGGGUGUGGAGUCUGCUACUUUGGCAACAAGCUGGGCUCCUGCACAGAUAGCUCUGGGGAAAGAGCAAUGGAUUACAAGCUGGAAAUGUAG